rnacentral:lncRNA from 1 species
UAAAAAACCACAAAACCAACGCAAGAGCAAUAAAUUUAUAUUUUUGUCGGGGAGCGGGGUACCUCGCUUGUUCGGCACGUGCGGGCUGUUUGGGAUUUUUGUGGAGUGAAGGAGGAUUGAGAUGACGGUGGAUAUGGAGGGGGUCUGACUUCAGGUGCGGAGGGCUGGUGAAACUCGCCUUAAACCUGCGAAACAACCAAAAAGAUGUCAAAGGUGGAGCCGGGGGUGGCCGGCGACCACACUCCGACGCUCAAGUCAGAGUUGGGUUAUCUCAGGUUAGAGAGCUUGCAAGCUCUCGGUAAUGGAGAUUUUGAGGUUGAAGAAACCUUCGUUUUUUCUGGUGAGUGUGUUCCCUCCCUUGAUAAAAAUUAAACCUGAGUAUUUAUAUGGUGUACCCCGGUCGCCGUGCCACCUGGCGCUAUUUUAGUGGCGUUCCCUGCUGUCAUGUCAGGAAUAUUCUUAUUUUCAUGCGUAUGGCGGCUUAGACGUUUCAAAAAUAUCAGUGGAGAGCAAGUUUGUGGCGUAUUCACGUUCUGGGCGUAGUGGAGUGGUCCCGCGUACCUGUGCAAUUCCGUUGUAAUUUUGCAGGCGUAGCAGGAAAAGCUGGUGGUCCCAACUGUCAUAAUAUCACACUUUUGACGGAUUCGCUGGCGUGACAGGCGGUUAUCUCCUCUUUUGCGGCACAAGAUUUCCUUAUUUUUCGACACGUAUCAAACCGAUCUUUUUGAGAUUCCGGGCCCACAUAUCCCUUCACAUAUUUACAAAGAUUUUUAUAUCCUUUUAUGGUCUACCCGAGGUACUGAGUUUUGUGGGGUAGGUUAGGUACCCCGGGUGCCGAACUAAUGGUGUAGGUCGGGUACCUCGAGUACCGAGUUUAUAGUGUAGGUCUGGUAUCUCGAGUAUCCCGGGUACCAAAUUUUAUGGGGUAGGUUGGGUAUCCCGGAGAUAACUAAUAAUUACAUAACCUUUGCAUCGACACGUGGCGCUUCAUUUUCAAUACUCUAUUUAUCCCCAAACAACAUCCCCCUAGUUUCUUUGUGGCGAAUGUAAUUGAGGCAAAAGAAACUCAUAGAAGAAUUAUGAACGACACGUGGCAAUGUUCAGCUCUUCCUCUCACAGGAUUGGAUAAAAAGAGGUACCUCGUCUACCACCCUUUGGUUGACUAUGUGAAUUCCCAAAAUCAAAUAAUUUCUUGAUAUUUUUUAUCUUCUUUCUUUCUCCUUUAUUAUUAUUAUUUUUCAUUUUAGCCCAAUAAACGGAGGCUCUUUGAAUGGCUCGGGUACUACUCCUUCAAUGAGGUGUACUCAGCCUCCUCACUUUUUGGGGUGUGAACUAAUUCACCCAAAAACUCAAAUUUUACUUCCUCUCUUACUCAGUAAAAUUGCUUGUGCAGAUGGACCCAGCUGAAAAAUAGCGGCUCUAGGGGCACACCGGGUACCCCAAAAAGAAAGAUGGACUCCCUUUUCUCUAUGCCUUAUAAAUAGCUAUCAAAUUUGGAUAAGUUAGAGAGGGCGGAAUUGAUUGAUCAAAAAUUUUCAUCUGCUUAUGGGGACGAACCACCAAGUAUGUGUAGAGGAUGAUGUAGGGGUACCCCACCAUCACCUAUAUUUUGUUUUCUAGUAAUUAGCAAGUAUAGAUCGCUCCGGUGAGUACUUCAAUGCCUUUCUUGGCCUUUUGAGAACCAAUUCGUCAGUUACCUCAAGAUCCAUCUCAUUUAAGGGCACAUUUCCUCUACAUGCUCCAGGGACGAAAAUAAAAUCCCAAGGCUCCUUUCCUAGUAGCUUUAGGAGUAGCCCAGGUGCAAAAAAAGAAAGAUGUGCUUCGACCCCGUGAAAUGAAGCUCUUUAGAUUGAACAAGAUUUUGAAUGGAAGCUUUGAUGAAGUUUUUGGGGAGAAGAUCAGGGCUUCCCACAUAUCGCGAUCUGAAAGCCAUGGAGAUCAGCUGGGGUACCUCAGCCAAAGUCGCCAUCAAGUAUCUCUGAUAUCAAUGCUUGCGCUUUUGCUGCUUUUGGCACUUUUGUUGAUCCCCCUAUCCUGAGGGAUGAAGGUGAAGAUGACCAACCUUAUUUUGUUGGGGUACCCGAACUACUUCAAUAUUAUACUAACAAACUCCUGGUACUUUAUUUCACAUAGCUUUAGAUGCCACUACUUGACUUGGCGGCCUUUUUAGGAUCUUUUGUGUACCUUUCAUGUGUUCUGAAAUCUGAUUCUGAGCAUGGGGUAUCUCAGGUAUCCAUCAGCAUAAAUAUUCAUUGAGCUAUCUCUUUCUUCAUAGCGAAGUAACCCAAUUUCAUCGAACAUAUGGCAAUUCAUCCAGAUAUGCUUGUUGUUAGUCUUUAAGAGAUUAUGGCGAUUCUUAACAUCUUUCUUGAUCCUCUUUUUUUUUUUUUUUUUGCUUGGUGUUGGGUAGGUAUGAACCCUUUCGCCGAAGACUUCGAUGCUUUUUUCAGUCGCAUAAGCGGCAGCCUCCUCCGGUACACUAGGUACCUCAGCAAAGGGUGAUCGACCUCUCGCCGUUCCAAGCGCCAAAGGCAAAUUGCCCGAUUCCUCUUUUGGUAGUUCUCGGGGUACCCCGGCUACCCACAAGAGAAAGCUUGGCUCUCUAUUCACGGUCUCUGGAGAUCUCAUGGAGGGCGAGCUUGACCUAGUGGCAAACAAGAGCAUAUCUCAUCUCACCGAUUGCUUCCUCCACUCCUCCGAGUGCAUUUAUACAGACAUGACUAUUGAGGCGGAUAGAUUGGACCUAAAUGAGCGCUAUAGCCGGGUGCUCAAGGAUUGUCAUGACAUGAGUGCUUCCUCUUUUUUUUUGUAGGCGACCUUCUACCUUAGCCACAGUCUCUGAGACUUUAGUGGUACCUCGGCUACGCUAGCGGAGGCAGAUAAAUUACAAGGGGAGAUCAGACUUGGUCAGUCUCGGAAGGAGAAGCUUGAGGUGGAGGUCAGGGCUUUACAGGGGCGUAUAGACGACCAAAUCCAGGAGAACACCUAGAGUUGGUGGUACCCCGGGUAGAGAAAUGGGUGGACAAGUCGGCCAUCCUGAAGGCAAUAGAGGAUAAGAGGGUAACCCAGGCUCCACCAUCCUACAGCCCACAGCAAUCUUUGGGGGUACCCCAGGCAGAUCUCCCUUCGGUUAGCGCUGUUCAUGCGGGUAGCAGCUCUUUGACCGCGAGUAUUCUUGUUGAUCCCCCUGUUGAAGGGAACGGUGGAGAGGAUGUCCCCCCUUCUGCUUGAUCUUACUUGCCAUUUAGGGUUUUAUCUCGAGAUGUCUUAGCAGCUUUCUUUCUUUGCUUAUGUACCUUUGUAGUAUGGCAUCAUCCUUUUGUUGUGUUGGGAUACUUGUCUUUAGGAAGGUUGCCUCGGCAAUCUUGCUACUUAUUCGCAUUAAACUUCUGCAAUAGACUUUAUUCGGCAUACCAUUGAAUUCAUUGCUUAUAAUUGAUUUGUGUAGACUCGCGGGGGUUCCUCGGGUACCCCAGGUACCUCCCUGAUGUAUUUUUGGCGCUUGCGUGGUGAUUUCCGUAGAUGUGCUCACUGCUCAUCUUAAUAAAGAUUAUGGCGUAUCUCAAAAUAAUUUAAUAAUUCGCACAUCAUCAUAAGAUAAAAAGACAUUUAUAUUUGGCGCAACUAGGAUAAAAUAAAGAUUAUGGGGUAUCUCAGAUAGACUUGUGGAGUUUCUCGGGUACCCUAGGUACCCUCUUUUUUUUGGGGACCUUCUUAGCCCCCUUUUUUACAGAAAUGGUCAAAAACAUGCUUGUUUUGCCAUCCGCUUGUAGUCAAUAUUUAAUAAAAUAAUGCGAAUAGAGGGGCAUGCUUGCCUACCUCGUUUCGUUUAUUUAUUCUUUACUUGGCUCAAGUAAAAGAUUGGAGGUGUGGGCGUGUGCAUACCUUAACGGAACCUCAUGGCGCUAGGGUAUGCUGGUUUACCUCGCCCUCGGGCCUUCUCUGACCCUCCCUCUUUAAAUUUGUUGUAUUAUUUCUUAUUGGCGUUGACCUCGAACAAAUCUUCACAAUCGAAUCGAGUCAGAUACCUCAGGUUCCCCUGAUUAUCUUGAAAUGGAGCAAUUAUAGCUGAAUAAGACGUGGCGUAAUAAGAUGGAGUCACAUUAAUGGUGAAAAUUUAACUGCAAUCAUAUUCGGUAAUCAAAAAGGAGAAUACACAUCAUCUCAUAAAGUAAAAAACAUACUUAUAAACGAUAGAACCAAGAUCAUUACAUGAUAAUGUUCUGUUAUCUUAAAGAAAUGGGGGAUCUUGAGAUCACCCUUGUCAUUAGAGACUUGGAGAAUUGAAAAGUGCAACUAAUCAGUUUGGGGUACUCUAGGUACCCUGCAUGAUAAAGUACACCACACAAUAGAUCAAAUAUUAUAAAUGCAUAAGCAUUGAAGAAAAAUAAAUAAAGUAAAUAAAAAGAGGUAAAGUGUUUCCCGUUAUUAGUAGUACUUCCUCGAUAUGGUAGCAUUUCACAAGUGCUUUAUAAUUGUUCUUUUCAUUUAGAGUAGCAUGUGUGCUCAUUCCUUUUCUUUCUUCGGCACCCGAGGAUCCAGGGGUACCUCUAACUCUUCGAUUAACGCUGAAUUAAGACUUUGGAGUACCUCGGGUACAUCAUGCAUAACCGUAUCUACCUUCAUUGGCCCUACUCUUUUUUGUUUUAGAGGACUAGUUGUCUAUAACACUUUCCACCGCGUAGCUCUUCAUUGUAUUGCAAGCGCCUAAUUAGUAAGGCGAUUAAAUGUCAUUGCACUGCUGGGGUACGCGGGGUACACCAGGAAUAUUCAGCUCUUUCACACAUGGGGUUGGACAAGGUGGGCUGUGUACCCGGGGUGCUUAAGAGAGUACCGGAGGUACCUCAGCUCUCUUGGGUUUCUCUUUGUUUCUCACAACUUCGACUCUAUCUUCCUCCCGCUUUAGGUUACACUUCUCAUCAAUUUCUAUUUGUUGCAGGGCUCGAGAACGAGCUUCCCCAUAUGAAAGAGGGCGGUGUUUUUGAAAUGACUGCCAUAACUUCCCCAAACGCAAAUUCUUUUCAAAAUGAGUAAGAGUAUGUUGGUGACCAAACGUACCGGUACGUAACACCUCUUGGUGGAAGCGGGUUACGUACUCGGCUAAAGACUCCGAAUCCCCUUGCUUGAUGAAAGCAAGCUUGGAGGAUGUUAUAUCUUGGGCGGAUGCAUAACCAAACUCAUGAACAAAAGCUUUUAGGAGCUGGUCUAAGGAGGAUACACUACCUGCCUUCAAUAAUCGAAACCAUGAUUUGGCUGGUCCGGUGAGGGUAUGCGGUAACAUCCGUCACAUAACAUUGUCACCCACUCCUUUAAUCAUCAUCUGGUCACGAUACAACUCAGCAUGUUCCACGGGAUCCGAGGUACCUGAGUAUUGUUGUAUUUGAGGUAUGGUGAACGCUUUUGGGAGAACCGCUGUCCGAAUCUCCAUGGUGAAUGGCGAGUUAUGCACUACUGGUGCUAGAGCAUUGGUGGGGUUUUGUUUUUCAAAAAAGAGCUUCACCUGAGCUUCGAGGUACUCCAUUUUUUUCUAGUAACUCAUGGGGUACCCCAGGUACACCUAAGGAUGCAGCCGUUGUUUGGGAAGUUCUUUUGGCAUUCAACUUAUACCGGAGAUCUUCAUGGGCUUUUUGUUUACGUUUGGUACCCUGGCUGCUACGGGAAUAGCAAGAGGCAGUGGAGCGUUCUUCCCGGGAGCCGGCGGCUUGAAACUUUGAACGGGUGCCCGAUGGCCCAUGCUUUGGUCUACUUCCCUCCGGUAUUUCAGAUCUUGGUAUGAUCUGUUUUUCACCGCGUGGAGGCGGGACAUCUUGAGUUACCAGGGAAGUGGCUGCUUUGGGUACCCGAGAUCCUACUGCUCUGAGAAUCGCAUGAGCUAAAUCCUCAAAGUGUUUAUGAGUAACGGGCUCCUCGUCGGGUUGAAUACCAGUUGAUUGCUUAACUGAUUUGCCUUUCUCUAGGCGGGAUGCCCUCCUUGUCGAGUCACCCCUCUCAUCACCGCCGUGGUCCUCUUCUCCAUAAUGACCUAGCAUUUGGUUAUCAACAGGUACGUCGGGUGCCAUGGCUGUGCAAGCACACGUACCGACAAGCUUAGCACCGUGUGAAAGCUUUUUGCUCGUGUCCCCACAGACAGCGCCAAUUGUUUUCGGCUGAUUUUGGGUUAAUGAAUAAAAAACCACAAAACCAACGCAAGAGCAAUAAAUUUAUAUUUUUGUCGGGGAGCGGGGUACCUCGCUUGUUCGGCACGUGCGGGCUGUUUGGGAUUUUUGUGGAGUGAAGGAGGAUUGAGAUGACGGUGGAUAUGGAGGGGGUCUGACUUCAGGUGCGGAGGGCUGGUGAAACUCGCCUUAAACCUGCGAAACAACCAAAAAGAUGUCAAAGGUGGAGCCGGGGGUGGCCGGCGACCACACUCCGACGCUCAAGUCAGAGUUGGGUUAUCUCAGGUUAGAGAGCUUGCAAGCUCUCGGUAAUGGAGAUUUUGAGGUUGAAGAAACCUUCGUUUUUUCUGGUGAGUGUGUUCCC